UUAACAUUAAAUCAAAACUCUCUCUCAAGUCUCUCACCAUGAACAAACAACAACUAUCAUAAAACUAUAUUUGAAUAUUUCAAUCUCUAUCAAACUAAAUAAAGAACAACAACAAAAUAAAAACUAAAAGGUGAAAAGAGAGAAAAAUCAACCAAUUUAGAUGAUGGUGGUGAGUGUGUUGUUGAUGAAGAUGUUAAUAUUGUGUUGGUUUAAGUUGAAAUAAGAAGAUAGUAUUGUUGUUUUGGUGACGAUGAAGAUGGAGUGUUAGGUUUG
rnacentral:lncRNA from 1 species